AUUGAACGCUGGCGGCAGGCUUAACACAUGCAAGUCGAGCGGGGGAGGUUGCUUCGGUAACUGACCUAGCGGCGGACGGGUGAGUAAUGCUUAGGCAUCUGCCUAUUAGUGGGGGACAACAUUCCGAAAGGGAUGCUAAUACCGCAUACGCCCUACGGGGGAAAGCAGGGGAUCUUCGGACCUUGCUCUAAUAGAGGAGCCUAAGUCGGAUUAGCUAGGUGGUGGGGUAAAGGCCUACCAAGGCGACGAUCUGUAGCGGGUCUGAGAGGAUGAUCCGCCACACUGGGACUGAGACACGGCCCAGACUCCUACGGGAGGCAGCAGUGGGGAAUAUUGGACAAUGGGCGGAAGCCUGAUCCAGCCAUGCCGCGUGUGUGAAGAAGGCCUUUUGGUUGUAAAGCACUUUAAGCGAGGAGGAGGCUCUUAAGGUUAAUACCCUUGAUGAGUGGACGUUACUCGCAGAAUAAGCACCGGCUAACUCUGUGCCAGCCGCCGCAGUAAUAC
rnacentral:rRNA from 1 species